AGGCCUGCAGGGGAGGAAGGGGCACAGUGAGGACCCAGCCCAGGGGAGGACUAGACGGGCUGGUGGUGGGGGUGGGUAGGGCAAAGGCACAGGACAAAGGAGGGAAGGGGAAUGGCAGGGGACAGGAAGGAAGAGGUCCUAACAGACAGACUCGCUGGCAGGAAGCACAGCUAAAAUCCACACGUGAACUGAGUGGAGUGUAGCAAGGGAAAGAGGAAGGCCUAAAGUGAGAAGUUGGCCUAUUUCUAUAAAGUUUACUGUUCUGGGAUGUGGCAGGCCUCACUGUCUUUUUUUGUUUCUUUGUUUAAGAUUUUAUCUGUUAAUGAAGGAAGAGAAAGGAGAGCACUGAUCUUCUGUGGAUGAUAUACUACUUGGUUUUGUCUUUCUUAUUUGAAUGUGUUGAAUCCCGGGCCUCAGGCAUGCAAGGGUUAUCGCUGGGACUCUAUGCUUGCAUAAUAACUCCACUGCUCCUGAUGGUCAUUUGUUUGUUGUGUUAUAGAAGUUGAAAGAGAGGAGUCAGGCGGUAGCACAGAGGGUUAAGUGCACGUGGUGCAAAGCGCAAGGACCGGCAGUGUAAGGAUCCUAGUUCGAGCCCCCGGCAGGGGGGUUGCUUCACCAGUGGUGAAGCAGGUCUGCAGGUGUGUAUGUUUUUCACCCCCUCUCUGUCUUCCCCUCCUCUCUCCAUUUCUCUCUGUCCUAUCCAACAACAAUGACAUCAAUAACAACAACAAUAAAAAAGGGCAACAAAAGGGAACAAAUAAAUAAAUAAAUAAAAAGAAGUUGAAAGAUAUAGAGAUGAGAGAGAGAGAGAGAGAGAGAGAGAGAGAGAGAGAGAGAAAGAAGAAAGCCCUGUAGCACUGCUCCAGCAUUCAUAGGGAACCAGGGGCUUCAAUCCAGGUCCUUGUAUAUGGUAACAUGUGUUUUACCCAGUCAGCCACCACCCAGCCCUUCCUUACGACUUUUCCAAAUCAACAACAAUCAUUGAUCUGGAGAGUAGCUGAGUGGUAGAGAGCAACAUUUAUAAACAUGAGGUUCAAAGUUCAAACCAAGAGGAGCCGGGUGGUAGCGCAGCAGUUUAAGUACACAUGGCACAAAGUGCACAAACCAGCAUCAGGAUCCCGGUUUGAGCCCACACCUGCAGGGGGUUCACUUUAUAGGCGGUGAAGCAGGUCUGGAGGUGUCUGUCUUUCUCUCCCCCUCUCUGUCUUCCCCUCCUCUCUCCAUUUCUCUCUGUCCUAUCUAACAACAAUGACAACAAUAAUAAGGAUGAUAAACAAGGGCAACGAAAGGGAAAAAUAAAUAAAUAAAGUUUCUUUAAAAAAAUAAAAUAAAAAACAAAGUUCAAACCAUGGCACCACAUAUGCCAGAGGGAUGCUCUGAUAUUCUCUUUCUGUUCUCCUCUCCUCUCUCUCCCCCCCCCUUUUGAUAAGAAAUGAAUCUUUAAACAGUUAAUAAUGAAAGUAAAUUGUGAUCUUUAAGUAGAGGGUUUCUGAAGCACUGGGGGAAGGAAAUAUUGCUGAGAUACCUCCCAGAAAUAGAAUGGUUGCAUCUCCUCAAGAUGAAUUGGAGCAGAGCUCUGAAGCCUAGAUAUAUUAGGGGGACAGACCACAUAUGAGGGCAGAAGCAGUGUCAGGAUGAUCUUAGGGAUCUUACCUGUGUGGGGGUCCAGCAGACUUGACAGCUCUUCUUCAAGCAGCUGCUUCACAGAGAGGUCCUCCUCAGGGUCUAAAGACCCUUCUUCCUGGUCCAGUUCUGCUUGGCCACCAACCCUGGAACCUGUGCCAUCUGUCUCUGAGACUGGACUCCUGCAGGGGAAGCCAACUCAGACCAUGAGAGGAAUUUCACAUAUAGGCUCAUUCUUCUGUACUCCAGAGCCUUCAUCUGUUCAUGCCAACAUCCAUUCAUCCAAAUCGGUGCCGGCGUUCAGUCAGACCAGCCUGGGUUACUUGAUCCCAGCCCUUCUGGCUACUGUUUCCUUACCUGUCAGAUGGGGACAGCAACACCCACCUCAUGAAACAUGGUGAGGGUAAAAUGAGACGUCAUAUGAACAGGGCUCAGCAUAGUGACUCGCACAUUGUAAUCACUUGGUAAAGAGAAGUGACUACAAAUUCAUAGACAUGUUUACUCACCACUGUCCCUCUUAUUCCUUAAGGAGUUCAGUAAACUUUGCUUCAUUCAUCCAUCCACCCACCUACCCAUCCAUCCAUCCAUCCAUCCAUCUCAUUCAUUUCUCUCUCUCUGUCUUUUUUUCCUUCCAUUAAUUUGUUUAUGCUUGAGCUCUCACAAGGGCAAGGAUUUUUUUUCCCCAUCUCAUUCCCUGUUCUUUCUUAGCAUAAGACCUCAUACAUAAUAGGUGUUUAAUAAAAAGUAUUGAAUACUUCUCACCUUUUUUAGAAAAAAAUUAUUUAUUUAUUGGAUAGGGACAGAGAAAUUGAGAGAGGAGGGGGAGAUAGUAAGGGAGAGAGACAGAGAGACACCUGUAGCCCUGCUCCACCAUUUGUGAAGCUUUCCCCCUACAGGUGGGGACCAGGGGCUUGAACCUGCAUCCUUGCACACUGUAAUGUGUGCACUUAACCAGGUGCACCACUGCCUGGCCCCUACUUCUUUCUAUCUGAGGUCAAACUUCAGACAAAAAGAGCAAGUGUCUGGAGGAUAAGACUAAAGUGAGGUACUCAAAAGCCAUUCAAAACCUACUGCCCCACUUUCUUCUAUUUCUCCCUCAACCUCUGUGAGCUGGGAGGUCAGUUCCUGGGAUCAUCUUGGUUCAGGGAGAGUUCUUUGGCCUCUCAGCUCAGAAGAUGACUUAGUAAGAGCCUUUAUGGUGUGGGUCUCCUUUCUGCCGCCCCCCCCCCCCCCCGUGGACAUUCUGCACUAUGAAGAGAUUGGUACAGAGGUGGUAAAUUUGCAAAUAAUUAAGACAAAAACAGAUGUUCACUGAACAGUUGGUCUGCUGUACACAGUGUGUGCACUUUCCCAUCAAACCCCAUCCAUAAAGGGUCCUCUUGUUAGCAUCCUUAUUUUAGAGUGAGAAAACUAAGACUUGGAAGAAUAUGCCAAGUGCCCAAGGCAUUGAUAAGGUAGGAUUGAAAUCCAGGCUGCUGUGACCCUGGAUCAUGUCCUUGUGUCCUUGUGUCUGCUUUACAUUAUUUCUCGCCAGCUUGGCAAAAAGAAGCUACAAGUUGUCAUGGUAAGAGCACUGAACCAGGAGUCAGGUGCCCAGAAAACUGGUCCCAGCUUUGUCACUCACUGGCUGUAUGACCUUGAGCAAAUUCACUCUCGGGGAAAUACUUUAACAUUGAGUAGCUCUGAUGUGCCAGACACUGGGCUUAGAAUACAUUUAAUCAUUAAAUCUUUCCCUAUCAGUCUACCAAGUGCAGGGACUUUCAUUUCACAGGUGAGAAAGCACAGCCCUGGGGGAACAUCUCAUUUUCUUACAUUUACAUAGCUGGGCAGUUCAAACUACUUUCAGCCUCAGUUUCUUCAUUUGUAACAAGAAGGAGUAAGAUCAGAAGUCCUCUUGAGGUCACUUUAAUUCUAGAUUAAUUCAAAGGCUCAUGCUCACACAUCCACACACUCAUAUACCCUUUGUCCUUAGCCAGGAGUCCUUCUCAUAUGUUUGAUGGUCAAGAGAAAGAAAGCAAAAAGUUACAGACAUAAAGUCCAUAGCUCAGCACCUCUGCAAUCAGGGACAGAGAGUCAGAGCCCUAGGGAUGAAAUCAUUUCCUGAGUGACUCCGGGUGCUGUAAGUACAGUAUUUAUAAUAUUUGCUCCAGGACAGAGCUGCCUGGGGUAGGCGGAUGGACAUUGUCUGAUGAACACUCCCAGGGGACCAGUGUCUUGGGAAAGGGUGGGACACUCACCCUAUAGUGAUGUAACAGAGGCUGCAGGGGUUUGGGCAGCUGAUGGGGGGGGGGCUUCUUGGGGCAGUCAGUGGGGGCUACGUGCCGCUUACCUGCCACUGCUGGGCUUGGCCAAGUAUUUAUUUCCCCGGUGGUUUGGUUUGGGCUGGAACUGGCCCUGAUGCAGCAAGGACAGCAGCUGGGAGAUUUGCUACAAGACAGGAAAAAUCUGUUGACUCCACACAAUUCCGACCCAGCACACUUCCUCGCCGGAUGUUUCCCUCAAUGCCGACGUUUUCUUUUUAUAGUCUUUCCUCCUGCUUCAGAUGUUUGUGUGAUCAGAUGGGGGUGGGGAGGAGUUGUGAGGGUGGUGAACAGUGACGGUGACAGGCAGAGGCCUAUGCAGACAGGAUUCCGGCACUGCCUGUCUCUUGGGGACCUGAGUGUCUAGGGGGAGACGGGGGAACUCUCUGGACCUAUUCCUCACCCUCAUGCCCCAGCUGACCUGCUUCUGGUGGGAUCUGUGGGGUUGGCAUGAGGAGGUAGAUUUUUAUUUUUUUUUUAAAUAGAAACAGAGAGAAGUUGAGAGGGAAGGGGAUAAUUGAGAGGGAGAGAGAAACAGACCUGCAGCACUGCUUCAUCAUUUGUGAAGCUUCCCCCUUGCAGGGGCUUGAACCCAGAUCCUUAGGCAUUAUAGCAUGUGAAUUCUACCAAUGGCACCACCACAAGGCUGCCUAAAAGGUACUUUCUGAUGACAAUUUCAUGAUUGCUUUGAUAAGGACAUUUAUUUAUUUCUUGACCAGAGCAUUGCUUAGCUCUGGUUUGUGGUGGUGCCAGUGAUUGAACCUGGGACCUCAGAGUCUCAAGCAUCAAUGUCUGUUGCGCUAUGAAUGGUCAAUCUCCCAGGUGCUAAUAGGGAUUAUUUUAAAAGAGUCAUUUCUGUGGUCCAGCAUGUGGCAAAAUGGCUAAAGGACCAAAUUCAUAAAUAAGCAUUCCUAGUCCUGUACCCAGCACUGACAUAUGCCAGAGUGAUGCUUUGGCUUCUCUCUUUCUUUCUCUCUUUCUCUUGUUCUAUCAAAAAUAAAUAAAUAGGGGAGUUACUUCAUAGGCAGUAAAGCAGGUCUGCAGGUGUCUAUCUUUCUCUCCCCCCCUCUGUCUUCCCCUCCUCCAUUUCUCUGUCCUAUCCAACAAUGACAACAUCAAUAACAACAACAAUAACAAUAACUACAACAAUGAAAAAGGGCAACAAAAGGGAAAAUAAAUAAAUAAAUAUAAAAAAAUAGAUCUAGGCCAUUGUCUAAAAGAAUUAUUGCCUCCUCUCUCACAGUAUUUAAAUGUCUUGCCUGUUAUGAGGAGUGGGGUGUGAGGACUUGUGUGGAAAAGGGCAAGUGAUGUCAUCUAGUCAUUCAUUUAUUCAUCCUUUCAUUGACUUCAUGACAAAGCGACAGUCACUGCCCUCAGAGUUGACAGUGAGGCAGACAGGCCAUCAGGCGCAGACUUGGCAAGAUGGAGAAGGCUCCUCUCCCAGCUGGGAGCAAGGAAGGAAAGGGGGCUAUAUGGAGGAUUGGGGGAAGGGAGAUGUGUCUGUAUUUGCUUGUUUACUUACUUAUUUCAAAACUUAUUUAUUGAAUUUCUUUUAAAAAUAUUGUAUGUAUUGGAUAGAGAUAGAGAGAACUCAAGAGAGGAGGGGUAGAUGGAAACACCUGCAACCCUGGUCCACCAGGGCUUCCCCUCUGAAAGUGGGGAGCAAGGGCUCGAACCCAGGUCCAUAGUAAUGUGUGCACUUAACCAAAUUUGCCACCAACUGGCCCCAUAUUGAAUUCUUAUUAUAUGUCUGGGGACACUGCUGAGACCCAAAGAUUCCACAGUAGUUUAAGAAGUAUAAGGGAGCAAACAUUUGUCAUAAGAAAAAAUGUCUUUGUUGGAAGACAGAUUUCAUGGGCUGGCUCUGAAAUUGGAUAGAAGAUGCUUUUGGACAAAAGGCCACAAAGGAAGAGCCUUACUGUACUGGAAAGACUUGACCUUCCUCUUCUGAUUCUCCUCAGGAAUGUAAAUCUGCAUAUUUUGUUUUAACUAGCUUUUCUUGGGUGAUCUCCCUAAUUGGCCUUCCCCUUCCCCCUCUAAGCUGUGUCUGGUAAAUAGAUCUUGUAUAAAGCCAUAGUUUGGGUUGUUUGUUUGUUUUUAAGUAAAUCUGAAAACUAUGAGUGAGUUGUUCAGAAUUUCUGGAUCUCUUCCAGAAGCAUUCAUGUUAUUUAUUGAUGAAUUUCUUUUUCCUUUUUCUCUUUGCAAUCUGCCUUGUGCCUAUUUGGUUAACUGUCCAGCUUCUGAAGAACCCAGAUGGUUUCUUCCCACAAGUAAUGAGAGUAGGUCCUGGGCAAGGGGCGAAAGGAGUUCCUAAAGGUGUUAGAAACGGAAAGUCUGGAAGAGAUGAUGGAGUUUCAGAAAAGGGAGAAAGCAAGGCCAGAUCUGCCCAGCUGGGGUCAUCUCCCUAGAAGACAAGUCAUGAGAGGUGGGUUCUAGUUUGAGGUCAUGUCUAGCUUGUUAGU